AACAGCUGAAAUACCCUGAAUGCACUAGAGCACAUCUGAUCUUGAAAGCUAAGGAGAGUUGGGUCUGGUUAGUAUUUGGGAUGGAGGCCUGCCAAGGAAUAUCAGAUACUGCAAGCU
rnacentral:rRNA from 1 species